rnacentral:rRNA from 1 species
GCAUAUCAAUAAGCGGAGGAAAAGAAACCAACAGGGAUUGCCUCAGUAACGGCGAGUGAAGCGGCAACAGCUCAAAUUUGAAAUCUGGCUGCCUGUGCAGUCCGAGUUGUAAUUUGAAGAGGAUGCUUUUGGCAAGGUGCCUUCCGAGUUCCCUGGAAUGGGACGCCAUAGAGGGUGAGAGCCCCGUAUGGUCGGUCGCCGAGCCUCUGUAAAGCUCCUUCGACGAGUCGAGUAGUUUGGGAAUGCUGCUCAAAAUGGGAGGUAAACCCCUUCUAAAGCUAAAUAUUGGCCAGAGACCGAUAGCGCACAAGUAGAGUGAUCGAAAGAUGAAAAGCACUUUGAAAAGAGAGUUAAACAGCACGUGAAAUUGUUGAAAGGGAAGCGCUUGCGACCAGACUUGUGCUCGUCGAAUCAGCCGUCGCUCGUCGGCGGCGCAUUUCGGCGGGCUCAGGCCAGCAUCAGUUCGCUGCAGGGGGAGAAAGGCGGUAGGAAUGUGGCUCCUCGGAGUGUUAUAGCCUACCGUAUAAUACCCCUCGGCGGACUGAGGACCGCGCAUCUGCAAGGAUGCUGGCGUAAUGGUCGUCAGCGACCCGUCUUGAAACACGGACCAAGGAGUCGUCCUAAUAUGCGAGUGUUCGGGUGUAAAACCCCUACGCGUAAUGAAAGUGAACGGAGGUGAGAGCUUCGGCGCAUCAUCGACCGAUCCUGAUGUUCUCGGAUGGAUUUGAGUAUGAGCAUAUUGGGCCGGACCCGAAAGAAGGUGAACUAUGCCUGUAUAGGGUAAAGCCAGAGGAAACUCUGGUGGAGGCUCGCAGCGGUUCUGACGUGCAAAUCGAUCGUCAAAUAUGGGCAUGGGGGCGAAAGACUAAUCGAACCUUCUAGUAGCUGGUUUCCGCCGAA